AACGAACGCUGGCGGCAGGCCUAACACAUGCAAGUCGAGCGCCCCGCAAGGGGAGCGGCGGACGGGUGAGUAACGCGUGGGAACGUGCCCUUUGCUAUGGAAUAGCCCCGGGAAACUGGGAGUAAUACCGUAUAAGCCCUACGGGGGAAAGAUUUAUCGGCAAAGGAUCGGCCCGCGUUGGAUUAGGUAGUUGGUGGGGUAAUGGCCUACCAAGCCGACGAUCCAUAGCUGGUUUGAGAGGAUGAUCAGCCACACUGGGACUGAGACACGGCCCAGAAUCCUACGGGAGGCAGAAGUGGGGAAUCUUAGACAAUGGGCGCAAGCCUGAUCUAGCCAUGCCGCGUGAGCGAUGAAGGCCUUAGGGUUGUAAAGCUCUUUCGUGGGGGAAGAUAAUGACUGUACCCCAAGAAGAAGCCCCGGCUAACUCCGUGCCAGCCGCCGCGGUAAAAC
rnacentral:rRNA from 1 species